GCCUAAGAUAGUUCAAGUUAGUAGAGCAUGAGAUUCUUAAUCUCAGGGUUUUUGGUUAGAGGCCCACCUCGGGCA